rnacentral:tRNA from 1 species
ACAAAAUGUAGCUUAACAAAAGCCCCUCGCUUACACCUAGGAAAUAUCUGUAAACCCAGAUCAUUUUGA